rnacentral:rRNA from 1 species
GAUGAACGCUAGCGAUAGGCUUAACACAUGCAAGUCGAGGGGCAGCAUGGUCUUAGCUUGCUAAGGCUGAUGGCGACCGGCGCACGGGUGCGCAACGCGUAUGCAACUUGCCUCACAGAGGGGGAUAACCCGUCGAAAGACGGACUAAUACCGCGUACACUCUAUGUUGGGCCUCCAAUGUAGAGGAAAUGAAAUUCGCUGUGAGAUAGGCAUGCGUCCCAUUAGCUAGUUGGUGAGGUAACGGCUCACCAAGGCGACGAUGGGUAGGGGAACUGAGAGGUUGAACCCCCACACUGGUACUGAGACACGGACCAGACUCCUACGGGAGGCAGCAGUGAGGAAUAUUGGUCAAUGGGCGAGAGCCUGAACCAGCCAAGUCGCGUGAAGGAUGACUGUCUUAUGGAUUGUAAACUUCUUUUAUACGGGAAUAACAAGAGUCACGUGUGGCUCCCUGCAUGUACCGUAUGAAUAAGCAUCGGCUAACUCCGUG